CAGUAGCCGCGGUAAUACAGAGGAUGCAAGCGUUAUCCGGAACGAUUGGGCGUAAAGCGUCUGUAGGUGGCUUUUCAAGUCCGCCGUCAAAUCCCAGGGCUCAACCCUGGACAGGCGGUGGAAGCUACCAAGCUGGAGUACGGUAGAGGGGGAUGGAAUUCCGCGUGUAGCAGUGAAAUGCGUAGAUAUGCGGAGGAACACCGAUGGCGAAGGCAAUCCCCUGGACCUGUACUGACACUCAUGCACGAAAGCGUGGGGGGCAAACAGGAUUAGAUACCCGAGUGUCCCUGUCUCUUAUACA
rnacentral:rRNA from 1 species